CCGACCCUACAAAAUGCUUAAAAGGUAACUUGACUCUUUGUUUGGGGGCUCAGUCAUUUUUGAAUGUUAAUCUGACUGGGCUGGUGGACCUAAAUAAUAAUAAUAAUAAAUCCUCCUCAACCCCUCAGUCUCUCUGAUUCCUAAAUUAUCCUGAAACAUUUCUGGUGGCCCAUACAGGGAUCAGAGAUGACAGAUUUACUGUCUCCUUUGCCUGUGGGACUAGAGCCCCAGGGCCGGGGGAGACCCAGCAUGCAAGGUGCACCCUAGGGGACCUUCACCUGGAUGGAGACCAGCUCUCCCUGCAUCCUGGCAGCCUACCCAGCAGCACAACAGAACUGGGGAUGAGGCUGCAGGACAAUACUAGCACUUCAGGAACUGCGCCGACUGAAACCAGUGGCAGCAGUGACUCCCAAUGAUGACCAGUGGAUUAGCCAACAAGACCCAGAUCACCCCACCCGAAUGGGCCUACGGCAAAACCCAACCACCAGUAAGAAGGACAAUUGCCUUGCUCUGACCACACUGGAGGCUGGUCAGUCUACCCACAGCUGAAGCUUGAGAAUCCUGCAAGCUCUGCUCUAGUCAUAUCCUGGAAUCUGACUAGUCGACACACAGCCGAAGCUAAGAGGGCCAUCACUGAAUAAGCAUUGUGAAGACUCUGUUUCUCUAGCCGUGCAGCUGCAAGGUCACUAGACAGAUAAACUCAAGUCAUAAACAUGUUUUUUCUUGAAAGAGAGCCUAGAAAAUAUCACCUAGUGAAUAUCUACUUCCAUGAAGCCAAUGAUACAUUUUUAGGUCUUAAACUUCAAUAUUUAAAAUAUUUGUCUCUGGACUUUGAAAAAUAAUGUGUAUGCCUUGUUUACUGGAUAAAAAGGCUAAUCACUUGUUCAUCUGAUUAGUAAUCAAACUUUCUAAAAUUUAUUUAAUACUUGAUGUUACUUUAUGUUUUAUAUAUAAAUGUGUAUUUCCAUGACAGUUUUAGUGUCACCUAAUAUUAUUUUCAAUGUUGUAAUUUUUAUUUAUAUGAAUCUUUGUGUUAUACAUUUUAAUGUCAUUGGUAUUAAAAGUGUAUGAGCAAAUAGCUUGAAAUAGUGCCUAGCACAUCAUGGAUUCUGUGUAAAUAUUCACCACUCUGUUUCAUCACAUUUUAACCCAUUCAUUCCACUCUUCAUUUCCUAACACUUUGUUUGUCCUUAUUCAAAUUUGUGUUGGUGUCCUGUCUACAUAUUAAUAGAAGAGAGGAGGUAGGCCCAGACUUCCAUCUUGAUUAAAUACUAAGACAAAUGGCAAUUUUCCUAGUUCUAUAUAUAUUCAACAUUACAUUUGUCUCACACUAUAAAUAUGAGUAUUAAGUACAGCAAGAAAAAUAAUCUUAACCUUCCUGCAAGAGAUGUUGGGAUAUUUACGGAUUGUCCACAACUUCUUUCGCCCAACAUUAUAUUUAUUCUUACAUCUCAACUGCCAUGAAAACCUAGAAGCAUGAAAUACUACAAAUUAGAAACAAAUUCCCUGCUGUAUACAAAUUGUAAAAGUAAACUCAAGAAGAAAUAGAAUAUAUGCAUACUCAUACAACAAGCAAAUAGAUUAGACUAGUGAAAACUCUUCAUCAGUCUAGCCCAGGCUCACAUAGCUUUACUAGUCAAUUCUAUUAAACACUUCAUGAAUAAUCAAUCCUUCACAAACACUUGCAAAACAGAGAAGCAGGAAAACAUCAAUUCAUUUUUGAGGCCAGUAUUACCCAGAUAACAAAUUAGAUGAAAGCAUCACAAGAAAAUAAAUGUGCAGACUAUUAUCUCUCAUGAAUAAAGACAGAAAUCUCCAAAAACUCUAGCAAACUGGAUGAAGCAACACAUAAAAAUGUUAGACAAGCCUGGCAUUGCGGUGCACACCUGUAGUCCCAGCCACUUAGGAGGCUGAGGUGGCAGGAUCACUUGAGCCCAGGAGUUUGAGGUUAUAGUGAGCUGUGACUGUGCCACUCCACCCCAAUCUGGGUGACAAAGUGAGGCCUCAUCUCUAAUAAAAAUUAAGGAAAAUUAGAAAAAAUUUAGACAAUAUAACCAAGUGGAAUUAUCUUAUCAAUACAAAUUUAAAAAUCAAUCAGUGUAAUACACCAUAUUAAUAGAAUAAAGGAAAAGACCAUGAUGACUUAAAUGGACAUCUGACAAAGUCUGACACUCAUUCCUGAUAAAUCCUCCAGAAAUCUAGCAAUAGAAAUAACUUCUUUAACCUCCUAAAGAACAUCCAUGAAAAUUUAAUAAAUUCCACUAAGGUAUAUUGAAAGACAUUUUGAUACUUCCAACUCUAUGGUUUUAAAGAUUAACAACGAAAUUAUAACUAAUAGUAAUCUCUCUAUAUGGAAAACAUUAAACACUUUUCUAACAAUAUUUCUUUUGCAUGUGAUAAAGGUAAAGAUUCAAAUUUAAUAAGAGGAUUGCUCUUGAGAAGACUGAAAUUUGGUGUUCCUAAUUUUCUGACUUAUUAGCAAUUAGAAUCUAAUUAUCAAUAAUUCCAAGAAGACAGGGGUAUUGUCCUCAGCCAAAAGGCAUGAUCACAUAGAAUCCUUAUGUUAGGCAUAACAGCAUUACAUAUUUGAAUCAUUUGAUAACAUUGCCAUCAUUGCUGUAUUCUCCUGGAAAUAACACACAAUACAGACUUCAAAAAAAUCAGAGCUUUUGUUGGGAUAUAUGCUCCUUCCAAAGGUGAUUGUGUGCAGUAUUCUGCGAAUCAAUUCCUUCAAAGGUAAAGUGUGGCUAUCUGGGCUUCUGGGAAUAUUCCAAAAAUCCACAUAUUCUAAAAAUCUUUUCCACUACAAACCACCAUAAAUGCCGGACAACAGAAUAUGUGCUCAACUGUGCAAAUUAUACUUUGGGGCUUUUGUACACAGUUUUUGCACAGAAAUAUUUAAGUGAAUAUAAAUUCAAAUGUUUUCCAGGUGGAUAUUGAGGAAGAAACAGAAAAAUCCAAGGCAAUCCCCUGUGGAAGAAAAUUAUCCAACCCAAAUUUCAACUGAACCCAAAGCUCAACCCAAAGCACCAAACAGCACAUCAAGACCUGUCAAAUAUAAUCACACAAUCUAAUACUUUUAAAUACGCAAAAUGAAGAGCACCAAAGUCAAUGUCAUUCAGAAAUAACAAUAACAAAACUAGAACACCCCGAUGCCAUUAGGCCUCAAGGAAUUCCAAAGUAGUGUAUUAGGUAUAAAAAAUAUAUAUGUAAUUAGAAAUGUUUACAGAAAUUAGAGGGAUUUUUUUGUUUGUUAGUUUGUUGGUUUGUUUGUUUGAGACGAGGUCUCGCUCUGUCACCCAGGCUGGAGUGCAGCAGCGCGAUCUUGGCUCACUGCAAGCUCCGCCUCCUGGGUUCACGCCAUUCUCCUGCCUCAACCUCCCAAGUAGCUGAGACUACAGGCACCUGCCACCAUGCCCGGGUAAUUUUUUAUAUAUUUUUUUAUUAGAGAUGGGGUUUCACCGUGUUAGCCAGGAUGGGAGGGAUUUUUUUAAAAAAAAGAUUUGGCCUCUAAAACAGUUAACAUUUCAGUAAAGAAGAAAAGAGAAAUUCAAUGUUUGAUAUACAUACAUACAAAUAAAUUUCAGGAAAAUGAAAAGUCC